UGAGGAAUAUUGCACAAUGGCGGAAACUCUGAUGCAGCAACGCCGCGUGGAGGAUGACGCAUUUCGGUGUGUAAACUCCUUUUAAGAGGGAAGAUAAUGACGGUACCUCUUGAAUAAGCACCGGCUAACUCCGUGCCAGCAGCCGCGGUAAUACGGAGGGUGCAAGCGUUACUCGGAAUCACUGGGCGUAAAGGGUGCGUAGGCUGGCUUCUAAGUCAGAUGUGAAAUCCAACGGCUUAACCAUUGAACUGCAUUUGAAACUGGAAGCCUAGAGUUCAGAAGGGGGAGAUGGAAUUAGUGGUGUAGGGGUGAAAUCCGUAGAUAUCACUAGGAAUACCAAAAGCGAAGGCGAUCUGCUGGGAUGAUACUGACGCUGAGGCACGAAAGCGUGGGGAGCAAACAG
rnacentral:rRNA from 1 species